rnacentral:rRNA from 1 species
AUUGAACGCUGGCGGCAUGCCUUACACAUGCAAGUCGAACGGUAACGGGCCUUCGGGUGCCGACGAGUGGCGAACGGGUGAGUAAUACAUCGGAACGUGCCCGAUCGUGGGGGAUAACGAGGCGAAAGCUUUGCUAAUACCGCAUACGAUCUACGGAUGAAAGCAGGGGACCGCAAGGCCUUGCGCGGACGGAGCGGCCGAUGGCAGAUUAGGUAGUUGGUGGGAUAAAAGCUUACCAAGCCGACGAUCUGUAGCUGGUCUGAGAGGAUGAUCAGCCACACUGGGACUGAGACACGGCCCAGACUCCUACGGGAGGCAGCAGUGGGGAAUUUUGGACAAUGGGCGCAAGCCUGAUCCAGCCAUGCCGCGUGCAGGAUGAAGGCCUUCGGGUUGUAAACUGCUUUUGUACGGAACGAAAAGCCUUCUUUUAAUACAGGAGGGUCAUGACGGCACCGUAAGAAUAAGCACCGGCUAACUACGUG